UAACAAGGUUUCCGUAGGUGAACCUGCGGAAGGAUCAUUAAACGAAUGAACAUGUUUCUCAGCAUGAAUUUCAAAACCCAUCUGUGUACCUUACCUGUUGCUUCCGCGCUGCGCGUGUCGAAGAUAUGCCUCUGCGGAUGUCUCCCCACCAGGGUGGCGGGGGGAUCGUGGAGCGUCGGCGUGGAAGGCUAUACCACAAACUCUUGUAUUUCCAUGUUUUCUGUCUGAACUGUCAUACAAAUAAGUUAAAACUUUCAACAACGGAUCUCUUGGUUCUCGCAUCGAUGAAGAACGCAGCGAAAUGCGAUAAGUAGUGUGAAUUGCAGAAUUCCGUGAAUCAUCGAAUCUUUGAACGCACAUUGCGCCUUCUGGUAUUCCGGGAGGCAUGCCUGUUCGAGCGUCAUUAAAAUCAAUUCAAGCAUUUCAGCUUGGUCAUGGAGGAAGAGUCCACCCUGUGGUCUCCCCACUGAAAUCGAAAGGCGGAAAGAGUCCGGUACACGGUGUAGUACUAACGUUCACUUCGUAUCCGGAGUCGUACCAGCCGACAAAUCCCCUACAAUUCUCUUGAUUGACCUCGGCUCAGGUAGGGAUACCCGCUGAACUUAAGCAUAUCAAUAAGCGGA
rnacentral:rRNA from 1 species